GCCUGCUGGGUUUUGUAGACACACAUAGGGUUUCAGGUACUAUGGGGGGUGGGGGGGAUAAUGGGUAGGGAGAGGGACAGGCAAGCAGGGGCCAUUUCCACCACCCGUGAGCCCAGACAGUGACAGGAUUUGAGGCUGUCUUCCAGUAUGAAGCUCAUUGUGCUGUCCAGGAAAAGAGAGGCAGUCGACUGCUGGGAUCUGAGUCCCUGCUGAUACCCAGCCUUGGACACUCCACCUGGAUGGCUCAGGGAGCCUGUCUGUGCCUUGCCCCUUGGUUCUGACUGAGGAGCAACCAUGUGCUCAAAAGCCUUGGCUUCUUCGUCUGUCGAUGGAGUGACGUUUCCUCAGCAAACAAUUCUCAGAAGAAGAAAAAAAAAAAGCCCCUGUGAGUGGAAACUGGAGAAGUGUUAUAGCAAUAAACGCAACAUUGGGUAACAUCUGCCUACAGAUGCCUAGCCUUGAGCCAUCCCUGCAGCCAGGCAGUGCUAAAGGACCUUUGCUGUCUGCUGUGGGGAAAGCCCGGACAGCUUCCCUUGACUCCGUCUGGUGAGGAGGGCAGGCAGGGCCGGGACACAGGAUUGUGACUUGACACCAGCCCCGCUGAGGAGGAGGGGGCCCUUUAUUUAACAUGUCUCAUGAUAUUCUACAUGCGGGAAACAAUGAGAACAAAAAAACACCUUCAUUGGGCGGAGCCACAUUUUAAACAAAAAUUUGUCUUUGACUAUGCUUAAAAGAAGAAGAAAAAAAAUCCUUGAAUAUAUUUAGAAGUUACUGUCUGUUUUUAACUAACUCCAUAUGCUGCCAGUAUCAACUUCAUGACAUUUGCCAAAAUAAGAUUUUAUUUUUUGCCUUUAUAAGAUUUUGUUGGAAAAAUGAAAUGAAUAUUUUGCAAGAAAAAGUUAAUUUAAAUAAAAGUGUAAUGGUUUGCAAAAAAAAAAAAGUGAUGUAUAGAUUAAAAUAUUAACCUCAUCUGUG
rnacentral:lncRNA from 1 species